AUACUUACCUGGCAGGGGAGAAACCAUGAUCACAAAGGUAGUUUUCCCAGAGUGAGGCUUAUCCACUGCACUGUGGUGUGCUGACCCCUGCGAUUGCCCUAAAUGUGGGAAACUCCACUGCAUGAUUUCUGGUGUGGGGCAUUCAUGCUCUCCCUGG
ensembl:snRNA U1 U1 spliceosomal RNA